rnacentral:tRNA from 1 species
GGAGUACCGGAAGGUGCGCCUGGAUCACCUCCUUUCUUGAAAAUGAGCAGUUCACUCACGCGAACUAGCUCUACUACAAAAUCCUAAUCGCGCGGUGCGAGAGGGUAAACGCAGGAAAAGUAUUUUCUAUCACUUCUCAGUUGUUGAGGCUGAAAGACCGCUCGGGCUUGUAGCUCAGUUGGUUAGAGCACUGUGCUGAUAACGCAGGGGUCACAGGUUCGAAUCCUGUCAAGCCCACCAAGUAGAGGCUUGGGGGUGUAGCUCAGCGGGAGAGCAGCGCCUUUGCAAGG